rnacentral:rRNA from 1 species
GACGAACGCUGGCGGCGUGCUUAACACAUGCAAGUCGAACGAUGAAGCCGGAGCUUGCUCUGGUGAAUUAGUGGCGAACGGGUGAGUAACACGUGAGUAACCUGCCCUUGACUCUGGGAUAACUGCGGGAAACUGUAGCUAAUACCGGAUACGACCCUCGGAGGCAUCUCCUGGGGGUGGAAAGAAUUUCGGUCAAGGAUGGACUCGCGGCCUAUCAGCUAGUUGGUGAGGUAAAGGCUCACCAAGGCGACGACGGGUAGCCGGCCUGAGAGGGUGACCGUCCACACUGGGACUGAGACACGGCCCAGACUCCUACGGAAGGCAGCAGUGGGGAAUAUUGCACAAUGGGCGCAAGCCUGAUGCAGCAACGCCGCGUGAGGGAUGACGGCCGUCGGGUUGUAAACCUCUUUUAGCAGGGAAGAAGCGAAAGUGACGGUACCUGCAGAAAAAGCACCGGCUAACUACGUGCCAGCCGCCGCCGUAA